rnacentral:rRNA from 1 species
UGAGGCCUACGGGAGGCAGCAGCGGGGAAUAUUGCACAAUGGGGGAAACCCUGAUGCAGCAACGCCGCGUGAGUGAAGAAGUAUUUCGGUAUGUAAAGCUCUAUCAGCAGGGAAGAAGAAAGGCGGUACCUGACUAAGAAGCCCCGGCUAACUACGUGCCAGCAGCCGCGGUAAUACGUAGGGGGCAAGCGUUAUCCGGAAUUACUGGGUGUAAAGGGAGCGUAGACGGUUAAGUAAGUCUGGAGUGAAAGGCCGGGGCCCAACCCCGGGACUGCUCUGGAAAAUAUUGAACUUGAGUGCAGGAG